rnacentral:rRNA from 1 species
UUACCUUGAGAAAAAACAGAGUGUUCCAGGCAGGUUUGUCCGGGGAUGCAUUAGCAUGGAAAUAGAACAUGACUGAAGUCGAUUUAUUGGUUUAAGGCUUUAGUAAUGAUUAAUAGGAACAGUCGGGGGGCAUUCGUACUCAGCAGUCAGAGGUGAAAUUCUAAGAUUUUGCUGAAGACGAACUAAUGCGAAAGCAUUUGCCAAGGAUGUUUUCAUUAAUCAAGAACGAAAGUUAGGGGAUCAAAGACGAUCAGAUACCGUCCUAGUCUUAACUAUAAACUAUGCCGACUCGGAUUCAGAUGAAUCAAAAUGUUCAUUUGGGACCGUAGGAGAAAUCAAAGUUUUUGGGUUCUGGGGGGAGUAUGGUCGCAAGGCUGAAACUUAAAGGAAUUGACGGUUUUGCACCACCAUGGAGUGGAGUCUGCGGCUUAAUUUGACCCAACACUGGGAACUCAUCAGGGCAAGAAGAUUUUAGGAUUGACAGAUUGAGAGUUCUUUCUUGA